rnacentral:rRNA from 1 species
AGAACGAACGCUGGCGGCAUGCCUAACACAUGCAAGUCGAACGCGUGUAGCGAUACACGAGUGGCGGACGGGUGAGUAACGCGUGGGAACCUGCCCUGGAGUGUGGGAUAACCGAGGGAAACUUCGGCUAAUACCGCAUACGACCUGAGGGUGAAAGAUUUAUCGCUCUAGGAGGGGCCCGCGUCGGAUUAGCUAGUUGGUGGGGUAAAGGCCUACCAAGGCAGUGAUCCGUAGCUGGUCUGAGAGGAUGAUCAGCCACACUGGGACUGAGACACGGCCCAGACUCCUACGGGAGGCAGCAGUGGGAAUAUUGGACAAUGGGGGCAACCCUGAUCCAGCAAUGCCGCGUGAGUGAUGAAGGCCUUAGGGUUGUAAAGCUCUUUCGCGCGCGACGAUGAUGACGGUAGCGCGAGAAGAAGCCCCGGCUAACUUCGUGCCAGCAGCCGC